rnacentral:lncRNA from 1 species
UAGACACAGCAGUCAGUCAUUAAGGAAUCUCUAUCAUCUUAAUGGCUCACUGGCAUACUUCUCAAACCACUCCUCUAGGCAAAGUGCCAGGCACCAUCUUGACUUGUCUGUGGCUCUCAACAGUUUCCCUUCUCCAGCCUCCAUCAUUUGUGGGCUAUGUGCUUACAGUAAUACCUCAUUGCAUCAAUUGCAUAGAAAAGCAAUGUUAUUUUACAUAUAUUGCCUUAAAUAAAUCACAACCAAUUUCAUCUGUGACUUUCUCUCACUUUUUGAAUCAUCUUAUUUUUUGCAGAGAAUGGAACACAGGGAGUUGCAUUUGCUACAAAAACACUCUACCACUGAGCUAUGCCUGAGUUAUUUUACCUGUUUCUUUAACGUUUUUGUGUGGCUUUGAGAAAAUUUAAGAAUACAUGACACAAAUUUCUUUUCAAUUAAACAGGGCGUUGCUUUCCAUAGCUCGGGCCAUCUACUGAAAGGAACACAGGUGAGGAAGGUCAUGCAAUUUGAAACCUUAAUAAAAUUCUCAAGUUGCUCCCAAUCGUGGACAGCACGGUUUCUAGAUAUCGCUGACCUUCCUAAGUCCUCCUCUUUAGAUGUUGCCUUCUACACCAGGCUAAAUACAAACAUUUCCCGCCAACCAAGGUCAGGUCCCAACACAGCAAGAAAGUCCAGCCUAAAAGCCUGGACCUGUCACGCUGGCCUGUUUUAGCCUUGAUUGGCUAGGGUAGCUGUCACUCAACACUGGGUCGAUGCCUGGAGGCGGAAAUCAG